UAAAGUUAUGGUCCAGGACUUACUGUUUAUUAUGACUAAAAUUAUACAUGCAAGCAUCCGCACCCCAGUGAGAAAGCCCAUCCAACCACCUCGGCCGAAUGGAGCAGACAUCAGGCACAACCCACUAAAUAGCCUAAGACGUCUAACUACAUCACACCCACAAGGGCAUGCAGCAGUAAUCAACAUUGGGCCAUGAGUGAACCAUCAGCUCGACCCAGUUAUGGUCAAGAGAGUGGGCCAAUCUCCGUGCCAGCCGCCGCGGUUACACUGGACACUCAAAACAACAGGAACCGGCACAAACCGUGACUAAAAUUAACCCAAAAAAUUUAAGGAAUUACUAAGGCUAACACGUAAAACCAAGAGCCUCUAUGGACACCCAAACCCCUUAAAAUUUACACGGACUUUUGACUCACGAAAAUUUAGGACCCGGCAUAGGAUUAGAUACCCUACUAUGCCUAAACGUAAACAACCAACAAACCAGAACAGUACCUGCAAAAGCAAAAAACUCAACGGACCCGACGGUGUUCCACACCCCCUAGAGGAGCCUGUCCUAUAACCGAUAACCCGCGAUAAACCUCACCCUCCCUAGCCAAACACAGCCUAUAUACCGCCGUUGUCAGUCUGCCUUUAAGAGUUUCAGCGGACAAAAUCGACUGUAAGUCAAAAACGACAGGUCAAGGUGUAGCUAAUGAGAGGGGAAGAGAUGGGCUACAUUACCACCAAACUGGUCAACACGGAACAUAACCUGAAACAAGCUAUAACAAGGAGAAUUUAGUAGUAAAAGAAGUAAGAACACUUCUUUGAACUAUGCCCUGGAACGCGUACACACCGCCCGUCACCCCCAUCGACACCACCAAAAAAAUACAUAAUCAACAGCAAUUCAUCAAAGAAGGGGUAAGUCGUAACAUGGUAAGCGUACCGGAAGGUGCGCUUGGAAGAC
rnacentral:ncRNA from 1 species